AUUGAACGCUGGCGGCAGGCCUAACACAUGCAAGUCGAACGGUAACAGGAAGCAGCUUGCUGCUUCGCUGACGAGUGGCGGACGGGUGAGUAAUGUCUGGGAAGCUGCCUGAUGGAGGGGGAUAACUACUGGAAACGGUAGCUAAUACCGCAUAAUGUCGCAAGACCAAAGAGGGGGACCUUCGGGCCUCUUGCCAUCGGAUGUGCCCAGAUGGGAUUAGCUUGUUGGUGGGGUAACGGCUCACCAAGGCGACGAUCCCUAGCUGGUCUGAGAGGAUGACCAGCCACACUGGAACUGAGACACGGUCCAGACUCCUACGGGAGGCAGCAGUGGGGAAUAUUGCACAAAGCGCGCAAGCCUGAUGCAGCCAUGCCGCGUGUAUGAAGAAGGCCUUCGGGUUGUAAAGUACUUUCAGCGGGGAGGAAGGGAGUAAAGUUAAUACCUUUGCUCAUUGACGUUACCCGCAGAAGAAGCACCGGCUAACUCCGUG
rnacentral:rRNA from 1 species